CCUACGGGUGGCAGCAGUAGGGAAUCUUCCACAAUGGGCGAAAGCCUGAUGGAGCAACGCCGCGUGGGUGAAGAAGGUCUUCGGAUCGUAAAACCCUGUUGUUAGAGAAGAAAGUGCGUGAGAGUAACUGUUCACGUUUCGACGGUAUCUAACCAGAAAGCCACGGCUAACUCCGUGCCAGCAGCCGCGGUAAUACGUAGGUGGCAAGCGUUAUCCGGAGUUAUUGGGUUUAAAGGGUGCGCAGGGGGAAGCUCAAGUCAGCGGUAAAAUUGCGAGGCUAAACCUCUUCGAGCCGUUUAAACUGGUUUUCUGGAGUGAGUGAGAAGGAUGCGGAAUGCGUGGUGUAGCGGUGAAAUGCAUAGAUAUGACGAAGAACCCCGAUUGCGAAGGCAGCCUACCGGCGCUCAACUGACGCUCAUGUACGAAAGUGUGGGUAUCGAACAGGAUUAGAUACCCUGGUAGUC
rnacentral:rRNA from 1 species